rnacentral:rRNA from 1 species
GAUGAACGCUAGCUACAGGCUUAACACAUGCAAGUCGAGGGGUAACAGGAGAGAAGCUUGCUUUUCUUGCUGACGACCGGCGCACGGGUGAGUAACGCGUAUCCAACCUUCCCCUUAGUAGAGGAUAGCCCGGCGAAAGUCGGAUUAAUACUCUAUGUCCUUCCUGGAUGGCAUCUGAUGGGAAGCAAAGGUUCACCGCUAAGGGAUGGGGAUGCGUCUGAUUAGGUUGCAGGCGGGGUAACGGCCCACCUGGCCAACGAUCAGUAGGGGUUCUGAGAGGAAGGUCCCCCACAUUGGAACUGAGACACGGUCCAAACUCC